rnacentral:rRNA from 1 species
UACAGGGGGCUCGAGCGUUAGUCGGAAUCACUGGGCUUAAAGGGCGCGUAGGCGGCGUAACAAGUCACUUGUGAAAUCUCCGGGCUUAACCCGGAGCGGCCAAGUGAUACUGUUGUGCUAGAGUGCGGAAGGGGCUACUGGAAUUCUCGGUGUAGCGGUGAAAUGCGUAGAUAUCGCUUGGAACGCCAACGGUGAAAACAGGUUGCUGGGGUUGUGCCGACGCUGAGACACGAAAGCCAGGGGAGCAAACGGG